AAAGCCUUGAAUACUGAUCGAUGCAUGGCUCACACACACACACACACACACACACACACACACACACACACACACACACACACACACACACACACACACACACACACACACACACACACACACACACACACACACACACACACACACACACACACACGCACGCACACACACAGGUUGGGGUUUAGAGGGGUGUCCUGCUUCCUUUUGUUUUGUUUUAAAAUGAGAUUUUCCCUCUAGCAGAGUGAAAAGUGAAGCAGGGACCAACUCACAACCAUAUCUCUGCAGAUGUGUACAGAUGUGUAAUAUCUGACCUCCAACCACCCCAGCAGUGUUUGCUGUCAGCCUCAGCGGGUUAAACGUGUAUGUGUGCUUUAGUCACAUGAAUUAAUUAGUAACUGAGCUAUUUCCUCUGGCAGUGGGAAGUGUCAGAACAUCUUCACAUGCAUCAGCGCAGAGAGCCAGCAGCCCUCUGAUAAACCUCCUGCAGUCUGACUACCUGGCCGCUACAAAUCCCUCUCAGGGCCGAGGCCACUUUGCAGAUUUGUAUUCAUCAGAGCCAAGAGUCCAUCUCUGUGCCGCUCACUAAUCAGGACCUUCAGAACAGCGCUGGAGACUAUUAAACAGGACAGCAGAGUCUUCUCCGAUGGAGCCAUCACCUCUGCUGGCUUGUUAUUGGGCAUGUGUAGACUCUGAGGCAGCUCCGCUCAGCAGGCGAUCGCUGCAGCUGGGUCUCCUCGCUCACCUGCAGCUCAUCGACUCAUCAGACGGGAGGAAUAAAGGUUUCCUGACCUCCAGCCACGCUGACUCAAUCAGCAGCUCAGCCUGACUUCUACACUUCUCAACUUCUCCUCCAGAACCACGGCUCUAUCAGGUUCUCCGGCUCCUUGGACCACCUACCCGUGCUCUCACCGUCUCACCCUCCCGGGCAUCUCCUGUCCACCCUACAACAAAACACUGUAAGCUCUCAUCAUUGCAUUAUCUCCUCCUUCCUGCUACCAGCUACUCAUCUUCAAGUCACCGCCAGUUCCUGCUCCUCACCUGCCCACAGCCCUGACUCCUCCAGCCCUCACCUCCCAUCUCAUUGCAGUAAGAAUCCUCUCAAGCUCCUUUUUCUAUGGCCCAUCUCAAAUCUGACGACCCUGUUAUUCAGUCCAGUGGUCCAGUCUCCUGCUCCUGAGCCCUGCUCCUUAAAAACCAACCCUCAACCAGUUCUGGUCAAUAAAACAUUUUAUUGAACCAUCUCUUGGUCUCCUGAGGGCUUUCUCCUUGCAUAUGGGUCAGAUUUAUCCCAAAAACCAUAACACAACAAUCUGGCCGAAGUGACCCCACAGAGGCUCUCAGGAGAUCCAUUGUAACCUGCUACAUAUGCAUGAGUCUGUUCUCCCGACCCUUAGGGAGCAGCAAGCUGCCACAAAUCAGCGACUGGAUCAACUUGCUGCUCACGUUGGUGAGAUACAUUCCAGGAAUCAUGACGGAAAUGAACUUUCAUCAAGUGCUUUAAUUGUUUUAUAUUUAAUUUUGACUUUUAUUUACUGACUCAGUUCAUUGUGGAGUACCUCAAGGCUCUUGCAUUAGUCCCAUUCUAUUCUCCCUCCUUGUGCUGUUUCUAGGUUUAAUAUUCUGUUUAAAUCAAUCU